AUGAGGAACCAGAAGAGCCGUGUCCAGGAGUGCAAGGUCGAGCACGUCGACCUCAUCCCGGGCAUGCCGGACGACGUCGCCGUCGACUGCCUGGCGCGCGUCCCGCACGCCUCCUUCCGCUCGAUGCGGGGCGUCUGCCGCGGCUGGAACACCGCCGCCGCCGCGCCGGACUUCGCGCUGGCGCGCGCCGAGGCCGGCGCCAACGAGGACCUGGUCUACCUGCUGCAGUUCGGGAACCCGGCGGCCGCGGACGCGGAUGGGGCCGCGCCGGAGAACGCCCAGGCGUACGGCGUGUCGGUGUACAACGUCACCACCGGCGAGUGGCGCCGGGAGGGCGCCGCGCCGCCCGUGCCGAUGUUCGCGCAGUGCGCGGCCGUGGGGAGCCGCCUCGCCGUGCUGGGCGGGUGGGACCCCGAGACCUUCGAGCCCGUGGCGGACGUGCACGUGCUCGACGCCUCCACCGGCGUGUGGCGCCGCGGCGCGCCCAUGCGGUCGGCGCGGUCCUUCUUCGCCUGCGCCGAGGCCGGCGGCAAGAUCUACGUCGCGGGAGGCCACGACAAGCUCAAGAACGCGCUGAAGACGGCGGAGGCGUACGACGCGGGCGCCGACGCCUGGGACCCGCUCCCGGACAUGUCCGAGGAGCGCGACGAGUGCGACGGCAUGGCCACCGUCGCCGGCGACCGGUUCCUGGCUGUGAGCGGGUACCGCACGGGCCGCCAGGGCGGGUUCGAGCGCGACGCCGAGUGGUUCGACCCGGCGUCCCGCGAGUGGCGCCGGCUGGAGCGCGUGCGCGCGCCGCCGUCGGCGGCGCACGUGGUGGUGCGCGGCCGGGUGUGGUGCAUCGAGGGCACGGCCGUGAUGGAGUACCGCGGGGAGCGGCGCAGCUGGCGCGAGGUCGGGCCGUCCCCGCCGGGGCUCAAGGCCGGCACUGCGCGCGCGGUCGCCGUCGGCGGCGGCGAGCGCGUGGUGGUGACCGGCGCCAUCGAGUCCGAGGGCGGAGGCACCGGGCACGCGCUGUGGGUGUUCGACGUCAAGUCCAAGAGCUGGACCGUGGUGCGCCCACCGCCGCAGUUCGCUGGCUUCGUCUUCUCCAUUGGAUCCGUGCGCGUGUGA
rnacentral:rRNA from 1 species